rnacentral:rRNA from 1 species
CCUACGGGGGCUGCAGUGGGGAAUAUUGGACAAUGGGCGAAAGCCUGAUCCAGCCAUGCCGCGUGUGUGAAGAAGGCCUUCGGGUUGUAAAGCACUUUCAGUGGGGAAGAAAGCCUUGGGGCUAAUACCCUCGAGGAAGGACAUCACCCACAGAAGAAGCACCGGCUAACUCCGUGCCAGCAGCCGCGGUAAUACGGAGGGUGCGAGCGUUAAUCGGAAUUACUGGGCGUAAAGCGCGCGUAGGCGGUCUGAUAAGCCGGUUGUGAAAGCCCCGGGCUCACCCUGGGAACGGCAUCCGGAACUGUCAGGCUAGAGUGCAGGAGAGGAAGGUAGAAUUCCCGGUGUAGCGGUGAAAUGCGUAGAGAUCGGGAGGAAUACCAGUGGCGAAGGCGGCCUUCUGGACUGACACUGACGCUGAGGUGCGAAAGCGUGGGUAGCAAACAGGAUUAGAUACCCCGGUAGUC